CCUCCAUUCUAAACCCCCAAAUUUUUUUGUUUUCUCCUCCAAACCCUAAGUUCCCAACUCCCCCAAACCCUCAACUCCAUCUCCUCCCUUGCUGCCGCCACUCCACUGGGGUGUGUGCCUCUGUUCUGCCGUGUCGUCGCCGUGUGGUGGUGCCGCCAGCUACUCUCUUUGUUUUACUCAUUCUAAUUGUGAAAUUUCACAAUUCAAGAAAUCUGCCCGUACUGAUAUCACAUAGCUGGAUCAAUCUGACUUCAGGGUAUGGAUUACGAACAAUCACUCCUCCGCAAGCAUCAAAAGUGAACAUGAAACCAAUGGUGAUAGAAGGUGUAUAAUCGGAGCUAAUUUGAUGCACUUUGAGUUUACUUACAAUGCGUUAGCCUCUAGCAGCACUAGCUUUAAAGGAAAAUUAUAUUUUGAAGGUGACAAUGAAGCUUGGCCUAUUACAUUUUGUAAGCUAGAUCAUAGAGGUGAGGAAGAAGCUAAAAAUAUAUUUAAUCUGACUUCUUUCAUAAAUGAUCAUCGAAUUGUGCGAUCUUGGUUUGCAAAAUUAAUUCAACAGAAAGAUAUCGCACGCGCACGC